GAUGAACGCUGGCGGCGUGCUUAAUACAUGCAAGUCGAGCGAACGGACGAGAAGCUUGCUUCUCUGAUGUUAGCGGCGGACGGGUGAGUAACACGUGGAUAACCUACCUAUAAGGCUGGGAUAACUUCGGGAAACCGGAGCUAAUACCGGAUAAUAUUUUGAACCGCAUGGUUCAAAAGUGAAAGACGGUCUUGCUGUCACUUAUAGAUGGAUCCGCGCUGCAUUAGCUAGUUGGUAAGGUAACGGCUUACCAAGGCAACGAUGCAUAGCCGACCUGAGAGGGUGAUCGGCCACACUGGAACUGAGACACGGUCCAGACUCCUACGGGAGGCAGCAGUAGGGAAUCUUCCGCAAUGGGCGAAAGCCUGACGGAGCAACGCCGCGUGAGUGAUGAAGGUCUUCGGAUCGUAAAACUCUGUUAUUAGGGAAGAACAUAUGUGUAAGUAACUGUGCACAUCUUGACGGUACCUAAUCAGAAAGCCACGGCUAACUACGUG
rnacentral:rRNA from 1 species